AGAAGCCAUACUAUCCUCCACACACUCCAGUUUACAAGUCACCACCAACAACAACACCAGUCUACAAGUCUCCACCUCCACCAACUCCAGUUUACAAGUCACCCCCACCACACAAGAAGUCAUACUAUCCUUCACACACACCAAUUUACAAGUCAACACCACCACCGCCACCCAAGAAGUCAUACUAUCCUCCACACACCCCAGUUUACAAGUCUCCACCACCACCAACUCCAGUUUACAAGUCUCCACCACCACCCAAAAAGCCAUACUACCCUCCACACACCCCAGUUCAUAAGUCUCCACCACCAAUUCCGGUGUACAAGUCGCCGCCACCACCUAAGAGGUCAUACCAUCCUACACCAGUUUACAAGUCACCACCACCACCACCAACGAAGCCAUACCAUCCUACACCAGUUUACAAGUCACCAACAACAACAACAAAGCCAUACCAUCCUUCACCAGCACCAUACCAUCCUGCACCAGUUGACAAGUUUCCACCACCAUCAAAUC
rnacentral:lncRNA from 1 species